rfam:Otolemur garnettii contig057717, whole genome shotgun sequence.
UCUGGGUACUGGCUGCCACAUGCCUGUACUCCCAGCACUCAGAAGGCUGAGGAAGGAGGAUCACUUGAGCCCAGGAGUUCUAGGCUAUGGUGCACUAUGCCCAUAGGGUAUCUACACUAAGUUCAGCAUCAAUCUGGUGACCUCCUGGAAGCAGGGCAGGUUGCCUGAGGAGGAGUGAACAGGCCCCCCUAGGAAACGGAGCAGGGUCAAAAUUCUGUUGGUGGUCAGUAGUGGGAUCCUGCCUGUAAAUAGCCCCUACAUUCCAGCCUGGGCAACAUUAUGAGAUCCUGUGUCUC